rnacentral:rRNA from 1 species
UCCACAGCCACACCACCCGAAUGCGCCGACCUCGCCUGCUCUCCGAGGCUAAGCAGGGUCGGGCUCGGUCAGUACUUGGACGGGAGAGGAAUGGAAGGUGCUCGAUGGGA